rnacentral:lncRNA from 1 species
ACGAGACAGAAAGUUAACAAGGAUACCCAGGAAUUGAACUCAGCUCUGCACCAAGCGGGCCUAAUAGACAUCUACAGAGCUCUCCACCCCAAAUCAACAGAAUAUACAUUUUUUCAGCACCACACCACACCUAUUCCAAAAUUGACCACAUAGUUGGAAGUAAAGCUCUCCUCAGCAAAUGUAAAAGAACAGAAAUUAUAACAAACUGUCUCUCCGACCACAGUGCAAUCAAACUAGAACUCAGGAUUAAGAAACUCACUCAAAACUGCUCAACUACAUGGAAACUGAACAACCUGCUCCUGAAUGACUACUGGGUACAUAACGAAAUGAAGGCAGAAAUAAAGAUAUUCUUUGAAACCAACGAGAACAAAGACACAACAUACCAGAUCUCUGGGACACAUUCAAAGCAGUGUGUAGAGGGAAAUUUAUAGCACUAAAUGCCCACAAGAGAAAGCAGGAAAGAUCCAAAAUUGACACCCUAACAUCACAAUUAAAAGAACUAGAAAAGCAAGAGCAAACACAUUCAAAAGCUAGCAGAAGGCAAGAAAUAACUAAGAUCAGAGCAGAACUGAAGGGAAUAGAGACACAAAAAAACCCUUCAAAAAAUUAAUGAAUCCAGGAGCUGGUUUUUUGAAAGAGAUUAGUAUUUUAAGAAAAAAUAAAAUUUUGAUAAAGUGAGAAAACUGGAUUGCAAAAGUUUGAGAUAAGGUGAUUGAUUGGUUAGGAUUCCGUUGGAAGACUUCCUCUUCUGGUCAAGAUGGAGGUACAGGACUGGAUUUAACUUCCCAACAAAAACAACAAAAACAAACAAUAUACCUAAAGCAAUGGUUUUCAAAACACUGGACAUCAGGCAAUAAAAGACAGAGAUCCUUGUGAAACAGGAAACAUGAAGGAUAGACAAAUCCUACAGCCCUACGCACUGCUUUGAGAGAGUUUCCAGACUCUGAUGCAGGGAGAGGAAACCCAGGUGGAGCCCAGCGGUCUCCCUGAGUGAGGAGACCAAGCUGAGAGUUUGGGGAGACCAAGACAAGUUCCUAGAACAGAGCACCACAGAGGAGAGAGCUGCACAAAGGCAGAGAAGCCUGGAGAUGUGCAGACGCUCCUUCAGUAUUCAGCAAAGUGCUAAGCAGCACGCGUGUAAGGCCAGGGAUGUAACCACUCAGAAGAGUUAGAGAGAAGAGUAGCUGGUACUCAGGCAUGUCCAGGAACAAUACCUCCUCCCAUCAGCCAGACUGGAGAAACCCAAAAUCCAGGGUAGAUUAAUCAGGAAGCUUUUGCCUCAGUAUUGGAAUAGACUGAACACUGCUGCAGAUCUGCCUAACAAGUCAUAAAAGCUAGACCUGAAAGGAUCAAACUAUUUCCAAGUAAUUUAACUUCAUCCCAGACUCAGGAAAAUUUACAGGGAUACAAAAAGUGUACCUUGUACCCAAACAAGGUAAAAUUUGUGAUUUCUGUCAUCCAAUCAAAUAUUACCCUACAAAGAAGCAGGAAAUUAUGGCCCAGUAUAAGAAGAAUAAUCAAUCAAUUUAAACUGACUGAGAACGUACACAGAUGGAAUUAGCAGAGAAAGAUAUUAAAUUAGUUAUUAUAACUGGAUUGCAAAUGUUUUAAAAGUGAAGUAGAGGCGGGCACAGUGGUUCACACCUGUAAUCCCAGCACUUCGGGAAGCUGAAGUGGGCGGAUGACUUGAGGUCAGGAGUUUGCGACCAGCCUGGCCAACGUGGCGAAAUCCUGUCUCUACUAAAAAUACAAAAUUAGCUGGGUGUGGUGGCAUGCACCUGUAGUCCCGGCUACUCAGGAGUCUGAGACAGGAGAAUCGCUUGAACUCGGAGUUGGAGGUUGCAGUGAGCUGAGAUUGUGCCAUGGCAUUCCAGCCUGGGCAACAGGGCAAAACUCCAUCUCAAAAAAAAAGUGAAAUAGAGACAUAGAAAAUAUUUUAAAGACCCAAAUUGAACUUCUAAAGAUGAAAAAUACAGUGUCUGAGAUGAAAAAUAUACUUAACGGUAUUAACAGUAUUUUAUAACAAUUAUAUCUCAAUGAAGCUGUUAAGAAAAAAAAAGAUUCCAUUGCAUUUGUCCAAGGAGAGAAGAGGAAAUUUGGACACAGAAUGUGUACAGAGGGAAGACCAUGUGAAGACAUUUAGAGAAGAGAACCACCUAUAAGCCAAGAAAAGAAGCCUCAGAAGAAAUCAAGCCUGCUGAUUCAAAUUUUGAGCCUCCAGAUUUAUGAGAAAAUAAAAUUGUGUUGCUUAAUCCGUUUUGUUAUGGCAGCCCUAGAAAACUAAUUCAGUAUCUUUAGCAGUAUUUGAUUUGCUCUUGAAUUUUGUAUAAAUGGAUUCGUAUUCUAA